rnacentral:rRNA from 1 species
GCUAUACAUGCAAGUCGAGCGAACAGAUAAGGAGCUUGCUCCUUUGACGUUAGCGGCGGACGGGUGAGUAACACGUGGGUAACCUACCUAUAAGACUGGAAUAACUCCGGGAAACCGGGGCUAAUGCCGGAUAACAUUUAGAACCGCAUGGUUCUAAAGUGAAAGAUGGUUUUGCUAUCACUUAUAGAUGGACCCGCGCCGUAUUAGCUAGUUGGUAAGGUAAUGGCUUACCAAGGCAACGAUACGUAGCCGACCUGAGAGGGUGAUCGGCCACACUGGAACUGAGACACGGUCCAGACUCCUACGGGAGGCAGCAGUAGGGAAUCUUCCGCAAUGGGCGAAAGCCUGACGGAGCAACGCCGCGUGAGUGAUGAAGGGUUUCGGCUCGUAAAACUCUGUUAUUAGGGAAGAACAAACGUGUAAGUAACUGUGCACGUCUUGACGGUACCUAAUCAGAAAGCCACGGCUAACUACGUGCCAGCAGCCGCGGUAAUACGUAGGUGGCAAGCGUUAUCCGGAAUUAUUGGGCGUAAAGCGCGCGUAGGCGGUUUCUUAAGUCUGAUGUGAAAGCCCACGGCUCAACCGUGGAGGGUCAUUGGAAACUGGGAGACUUGAGUGCAGAAGAGGAAAGUGGAAUUCCAUGUGUAGCGGUGAAAUGCGCAGAGAUAUGGAGGAACACCAGUGGCGAAGGCGACUUUCUGGUCUGUAACUGACGCUGAUGUGCGAAAGCGUGGGGAUCAAACAGGAUUAGAUACCCUGGUAGUCCACGCCGUAAACGAUGAGUGCUAAGUGUUA